CGGUCAUUCGCGCAGUAUCCAUGAUUUUAAGCGGCAUGAAACACUUAAGUUAACUCCUUUGUACGAAAAUAUCAUGUCGUGUAAGUUGGCAUGUUCUAUUCGAAUUGAAAUACAUUGUAACGGUGUAAUUUUGCUUACUUGUUGAAUAGUUAGCAAGUUUUAAUGGAAAUAGAAAAUAUUGGUUAUCUAGACAAAUAUGGUCUUGUUUUUAGUAUAUUUUUAUAACUCUUUUGUAAUGUCUUCGUUAUCAGAGCCCUUCAAAUUAGAAUAGUGAUGAUGAUCUUGUCAAUGCUGAGAUUUUCAUGCAUCAGCAGCCACUACAUCUGGAUCAGAUUGAACAAGAAACAGACAGCAAGGGUUGUCAGAUCAGAAACAGAAUGACACACAAACACAAGAAACUUCACAGGCAGAUCAACAUGCAAUUUGAAGACGUGUGAUAAAAUACAGAGAGGUGAAGUAGUGUGUCUUUCCAGAUCCCCAAAUCAUUCCCCCUUAAAAGAUGAGCCUGAAGAGGAGAUUUGGGAAGAUGUUGUUUCAUAAGUCGCUUUGCCAGAUCACCUGUGGUCGGGAUGUCUGCUAACAAGAUGCCUUGCUGGUCUGAGCGAGUUUAAAGUCUUACACAGACAGUCCAGAAGUUCUGAAGUCCAUCUUCGAUUUCAUUGGACGCUUUAAGGUGUAGAAACAUCUCAGCAACCUCAAGAGAAAUUGGAGGCAACUGAGCUAAAUUGCAGAUGUUGUUGCAAAGGGUCUGAAUAUGUAUAAUAUGCUGUCAUCGUAUUAAGUACAGCAUGAGCCAGAAUAGAUGGGUGGUGGUGGCCAUAAGAAGACUGUCAACUAAACCAACAACAAAAUUCAUAUCUGCAGUUUUUCU